GACGAACGCUGGCGGCGUGCUUAACACAUGCAAGUCGAACGGGUCUGCCCUGUUUUUUGCGGGGUGGGUCAGUGGCGAACGGGUGAGUAACACGUGAGUAACCUGCCCCUCACUUCUGGAUAACCGCUUGAAAGGGUGGCUAAUACGGGGUGUUCUGGCUGUGCCGCAUGGUGUGGCUGGGAAAGAUUCACUUUUGUGGUGUUUUGGUGGGGGAUGGGCUCGCGGCCUAUCAGCUUGUUGGUGGGGUGAUGGCCUGCCAAGGCUUUGACGGGUAGCCGGCCUGAGAGGGUGGGCGGUCACACUGGGACUGAGAUACGGCCCAGACUCCUGCGGGAGGCAGCAGUGGGGGGUAUUGCACAAUGGGCGGAAGCCUGAUGCAGCGACGUCGCGUGAGGGAUGGAGGCCUUCGGGUUGUGAACCUCUUUCGCCGGUGAAGAAGGUCCUGCUCUUUGUGGUGGGGUUGACGGUAGCGGGUUAUGAAGCGCCGGCUAACUACGUG
rnacentral:rRNA from 1 species